ensembl:lncRNA
GGGGAAAGUGCCCUGGUGGAAGAGAUGAGGGGUAUGGUGGAGGAGCUGGCGGGGGGAGGGUGGUAUCUCUCCACUGCCGCCAUCACCAAAGAAGAGAAUGAAGAGGAGGGUGCGAUUGGCCGACAGUGAGAGGGAGGGGAUGGCCAAGAGAGUGAUGGGGGUGGGAGAAACCUCUGGGUUGCUGCUGGUUUCCCCAGGCCCUCAACUUCUGUUGGGUGGGGACACACAUAACAAGACUCAAGACUGGGUACAGGAGGAGGUGGGGAGUUUUUUGUUUGGGGACUCAGCCUCCCCGAUUUUUUUCCAAACCAGCUGCAGCACUGGGGAGGGGGAGGAGUGUGGGGAUAGACCCAGGGUGCAGGGCACCCCGGAGCCAAACACUAUUCCUGCAUCCUGGGUUGAUGAGAUGGAGGAAGAGGGGGGGAUGUCGGGAGUACAGAUGGUGUUCUCACCGGUAGAUAUGGAGCAGGGGAGCAUCGGGUGAGUCUCCUGUUUUUGUUUUUUUUUCUGUCUGGGUUUAGAAUUUGAGUGUAUUACAUGAUUUUAUUUUAUUUUUUCAUGGCAUCUAAUUUUACUUUUGUUAGUUUAAAUGUAAGGGGUUUAAGGGAUUUUGUUAAGAGGAGGGCGGUUUUUAGUUAUUUGGAGGGGGAUGUCGGGAAAUUUGAGUGUAUUACAUGAUUUUAUUUUAUUUUUUCAUGGCAUCUAAUUUUACUUUUGUUAGUUUAAAUGUAAGGGGUUUAAGGGAUUUUGUUAAGAGGAGGGCGGUUUUUAGUUAUUUGGAGGUUGUGGGGUUUGAUUUUUGUUUUUUACAGGAGGUUCACCUGAGGGAUGGAGGGGAUGUUAGUAAGUUUAAGAGGGAGUGGGACAAGGGGGAGUCGGUUUGGGGUAUUGGGGGGGUGCACUCAUCGGGGGUAGGGAUUUUGUGUGGGCACAGGGAGGUAAAAGUGGAGGAUUCUUUUGUGGUAAUGCAGGGGAGGGUUAUAGGGGUGGAUGUCACAAUAAGGGAUUGUAAAUUUAGAUUAGUGGUGGUGUAUGGGCCACAGGUGGUGGCAGACAGGAGGGAGAUGGUGGACUGUCUGACGCCCCUGUGUGUCACAAAUAGGAAAUUAGUGAUAGGGGGGGAUUUUAAUACAGAUUUAGGAAUAGGGGGAUAGCAGUGCAGGCGCCAUUACCAGGCUAAUGGCUUGCCAUGGUCUGGUUGAUGGUG